rnacentral:tRNA from 1 species
GCCGCGGUAGCUCAGUUGGUAGAGCAUCGAACGCAUUAUUCGAAGGUCGCAGGUUCAGUCCCUGCCCGCGGCA